ACGAACGCUGGCGGCGUGCUUAACACAUGCAAGUCGAACGGAAAGGCCCUGCUUUUGUGGGGUGCUCGAGUGGCGAACGGGUGAGUAACACGUGAGUAACCUGCCCUUGACUUUGGGAUAACUUCAGGAAACUGGGGCUAAUACCGGAUAGGUGCUCCUGCUUCCUGGUGGGGGUUGGAAAGUUUCGGCGGUUGGGGAUGGACUCGCGGCUUAUCAGCUUGUUGGUGGGGUAGUGGCUUACCAAGGCUUUGACGGGUAGCCGGCCUGAGAGGGUGACCGGCCACAUUGGGACUGAGAUACGGCCCAGACUCCUACGGGAGGCAGCAGUGGGGAAUAUUGCACAAUGGGCGGAAGCCUGAUGCAGCAACGCCGCGUGCGGGAUGACGGCCUUCGGGUUGUAAACCGCUUUCGCCUGUGACGAAGCGUGAGUGACGGUAAUGGGUAAAGAAGCACCGGCUAACUACGUG
rnacentral:rRNA from 1 species